AUUACCUGGUAGUGAGUUAGAAAUGCAGAGUCUCGGGCUUCUCAGCAAACCUACUGGAUCUGCAUUUUAAUUCACAUGCAUGGUAAU
rnacentral:pre_miRNA from 1 species